AAGAGGAUUUUUUUUGAAAUUAAUUUUUAGGAGCAGGUUUCAAACUACCUCAAGUGAUUCUACUUAAUAGAUAUGGUCAUAAGCGUUAAGGGAAAAUUAACACAAGACGCUAACUUGU
rfam:Wolbachia endosymbiont of Onchocerca ochengi complete genome, strain wOo